GGCACCCACAGGCCUCACAGGCCCACGUUGCCCACCCCGGCCCCCUUGUUACGCUUUACAUCCUGAGGCAGCACUAAAACCUAUAUUUUCAAACAAUACCACAGGCAAAGAAAGACUCAGCAAAUGCCGAUUAAAGAGCUGAUCCAGGGAAGACAGCCAUCACUUCAACAACGAUGCCCUCCAUGGAGGGCUGAUUCUAGGGAAGACUGAGCGAUCACUCCAAGAGUGAUGCCAUCUAUGGAGGGCUGAUUCUAGGGAAGACUGAGCGAUCACUCCAAGAGCGAUGCCAUUCAUGGAGGGCUGAUCCAGGGAAGACUGAGCAAGCAAUCACUCCAAGAGCGAUGCCAUCCAUGGAGGGCUGAUUCUAGGGAAGACUGAGCGAUCACUCCAAGAGCGAUACCAUCCAUGGAGGGUUGAUUCUAGGGAAGACUGAGCGAUCACUCCAAGAGCGAUGCCAUCCAUGGAGGGCUGAUUCUAGGGAAGACUGAGCGAUCACUCCAAGAGCGAUGCCAUCCAUGGAGGGCUGAUUCUAGGGAAGACUGAGCGAUCACUCCAAGAGCGAUGCCAUCCAUGGAGGGCUGAUUCUAGGGAAGACUGAGCGAUCACUCCAAGAGCGAUGCCAUUCAUGGAGGGCUGAUCCAGGAAAGACUGAACGAUCACUCCAAGAGUGAUGCUGUCCAUGGAGGCAAUGAGACAGGAUGGAACUAAAGCACAGUGAGUAAUAGCACAGGAGGCUGGACAAGGUGUCCAUGGAUUGACAGCAUUCUGUGG
rnacentral:lncRNA from 1 species